GCGGGUGUAGUUCAAUGGUAGAACACUAGCAUUCCAAGCUAGAUACGUGGGUUCGAUUCCCAUCACCCGCU
rnacentral:tRNA from 1 species